CAGUAGUUGAGGCGGUCAUUAAAGCCACAUUCCCUAGCCCUGGAUCUGUUAGACAGUUGCCACACUCAGGUAAGGCUGGGCCUAUCCGUUGUCCUUCCUGUGCUAUGAAACUGGGGUCAAAUGGGGUGCUAUCCAGAUCACUAUCCAGUGAGAAUUGUCACAAAGGUCGUGGUGACUCACCCAGGAAAUGCAAAUCCAAAAGUACACCAAAGU
rnacentral:lncRNA from 1 species